GACCCUAACAGCUAGCCCGACCCACCAAAAACAACAAACAAUAUUCAUAACCCCUAAAAGCCUAAAAAUGCUAAACAAACCAUUUUUCCUCUUUAGUAUGGGAGACAGAAAAAGACAUAUGGCGCCAUAGAAAAAGUACCGCAAGGGAAAGCUGAAAGAGUAAAUGAAACAACCCAGUUAAGGAAGAAACAGCAGAGAUUACACCUCGUACCUUUUGCAUCAUGAAUUAGCUAGAACCCCCGAGCAAAACGAAUUUUAGUUCGCUACCCCGAAACUAAGCGAGCUACUCCAAGACAGCCUGUAGAAGGGCAAACCCGUCUCUGUGGCAAAAGAGUGGGAAGAGCUUUGAGUAGAGGUGACAGACCUACCGAGCCUAGUUAUAGCUGGUUGCCUAAGAAAUGAAUAGAAGUUCAGCCUCUUAACUUCUUACUUCCAAAAGGAUAUUUCUCUCAUCCGAUAAAAAGAAAGUUAAAAGAGUUAAGUCAAGAGGGGUUCAGCCCUCUUGAAACAAGACACAACUUUAAAAAGAAGGUUAAAGAUUAAAAACCACAAGGCACAGUAUUUUGGUGGGCUUAAAAGCAGCCACCCCUUUAGAAAGCGUUAAAGCUCAAAUACACAACUAGCCUAUAAUCCCAAUAACAUAUUUCUUAAGCCUCUUAAUUUAUUAGGCCAUCCUACGCCUCACCAUAGGAAAGAACCUGCUAGUAUGAGUAAUAAGAGGGCCAUUGACCCUCUCCAAGCACCCGUGUACAUCAGAACGAACCCGCACUGAAAAUUAACGCCCCCCACCAAAGAAGGAAAAAAGAAAGACACUCUAUCAACAAGAAAACCCCUCUAUAAACAAGCGUUACCCCCACACAGGAGUGCCCAAGGAAAGACCAACAGAAAAAGAAGGAACUCGGCAAACACAAGCCUCGCCUGUUUACCAAAAACAUCGCCUCUUGCCCUCCCCGUAUAAGAGGUCCCGCCUGCCCUGUGACACAAAGGUUUAACGGCCGCGGUAUUUUGACCGUGCGAAGGUAGCGUAAUCACUUGUCUUUUAAAUGAAGACCGGUAUGAAUGGCAUAACGAGGGCUAAGCUGUCUCCUUUUUCCAGUCAAUGAAAUUGAUCUGCCCGUGCAGAAGCGGGCAUGCCUACAUAAGACGAGAAGACCCUAUGGAGCUUUAGACACUAAGACAGACCACGUCAAGCCACCUCCUUAAAGCCAAGAGAAAGAACUAAGUGGCCCCUGUCUCCCUGUCUUUGGUUGGGGCGACCGCGGGGAACAAAAAUCCCCCACGUGGAAUGGGGCCUAUACCCCUUUAAACCAGAGCCACAGCUCUAAUAAACAGAACAUCUGACCAACAAGAUCCGGCACCGCCGAUCAACGGACCGAGUUACCCUAGGGAUAACAGCGCAAUCCCCUUCUAGAGCCCAUAUCGACAAGGGGGUUUACGACCUCGAUGUUGGAUCAGGACAUCCUAAUGGUGCAGCCGCUAUUAAGGGUUC
rnacentral:rRNA from 1 species